CACGUAGGGGGCGAGCGUUGUCCGGAUUUAUUGGGCGUAAAGAGCUCGUAGGCGGUUAGACAAGUCGGGUGUGAAAGCUCGAGGCUCAACCUCGAGACGCCACUCGAUACUGUUUUGACUGGAGUCCGGUAGAGGAGUGCGGAAUUCCUGGUGUAGCGGUGAAAUGCGUAGAUAUUGGGGAGGAACACCAGUGGCGAAGGCGGCUCAC
rnacentral:rRNA from 1 species